rnacentral:rRNA from 1 species
AAGUCGGUUGUGAAAGCCUUCCGCUUAACGGAAGAAUGGCGGCCGAAACUGCAUGGCUUGAGUGCGGUAGGGGAGAGUGGAACUUCUGGUGGAGCGGUGAAAUGCGUAGAUAUCAGAAGGAACGCCGGCGGCGAAAGCGACUCUCUGGACCGUAACUGACGCUGAGUGUGCGAAAGCUAGGGGAGCAAACGGGAUUAGAUACCCCGGUAGUCCUAGCCGUAAACGAU